rnacentral:rRNA from 1 species
AUUGAACGCUGGCGGCAUGCCUUACACAUGCAAGUCGAACGGUAACGGGCCUUCGGGUGCCGACGAGUGGCGAACGGGUGAGUAAUACAUCGGAACGUGCCCGAUCGUGGGGGAUAACGAGGCGAAAGCUUUGCUAAUACCGCAUACGAUCUACGGAUGAAAGCAGGGGACCGCAAGGCCUUGCGCGGACGGAGCGGCCGAUGGCAGAUUAGGUAGUUGGUGGGAUAAAAGCUUACCAAGCCGACGAUCUGUAGCUGGUCUGAGAGGAUGAUCAGCCACACUGGGACUGAGACACGGCCCAGACUCCUACGGGAGGCAGCAGUGGGGAAUUUUGGACAAUGGGCGCAAGCCUGAUCCAGCCAUGCCGCGUGCAGGAUAAAGGCCUUCGGGUUGUAAACUGCUUUUGUACGGAACGAAAAGCCUUCUUUUAAUACAGGAGGGUCAUGACGGUACCGCAAGAAUAAGCACCGGCUAACUACGUG